UACCAAAUUCCACUUAUGUAUAUCUCAAUUGCUCAAAAUUUGACCAAACUCAAAGUCAUAUUCUCCAAAUCCACUCCAAGAAUGAAUCAAAUACCAAUUAUUCUUCUCCUUACCAUGUAAGAAAACUACACCCAUUAUUCUUGCAAGAAUUCUUUCUUUCUUUUUUCAUUUCUUCCCAAAAAAAUUAAAAUAAAUAAAUAAAUAAAUAAUCUACCUAUACUUCUCCAAAACCAUCACCCAAAAAUCACUUAUGCAAACCCUCAAAACCCACCAUGGUUUUCUAAUCUUCUCUACCAUCGUCGUCGCCGGAGCCGUCGCCUUUUUCUCCCUAUGCCUCGCCGCCGAAUUCAAGAAGUCAAAGAAUAGUGAUGUGAUUGUGAAAGGAAGACAAUGUUAUGUGCCCAAAAGUGCAUCUUUUGGAUUAGGGAUUGGAGCUUUGGUGUGUCUUUGUGUUGCUCACUUUGUAGGAAAUUUUUUCAUCUUCAUAAAAUUUAGGACAAAAGUUAUCGGCGGCGGCGGCGGCAACUGCUACGGUGCAGUUCGAAAGCCUACAGUUUCAUGCAUUUUGAUCCUUCUAUCUUGAAGGGUGUUGUUCGUGGGUGGUGGAGUCCUAAUCGGCGCAGCCAGCAGCAUGAGCCAAGCCCAGCCGUUGGGAGAAGGUUGGGUAGAUGGAGACUGUUACGUGGUCAAGAAGGGAGUGUAUGCUUCAUCAGCCGUUCUCGGCUUGCUGGCUCUCGGCUCAACACUCGGCUCGGCUGCCAUUACUUUAAGCCAAAGCCAAAAACCAAAGCCAAGUGGAAGAAAAUAGAAAAGUCCAUGAUCGGUCAUUAAUCUUGUCCCAAAAACCAUAAAAACACAUACAUACAUACAUA